GGUGGGGUAACGGCCUACCAAGUCGACGAUCGGUAGCCGGACUGAGAGGUCGAACGGCCACAUUGGGACUGAGACACGGCCCAGACUCCUACGGGGAGGCAGCAGUGGGGGAUAUUGCACAAUGGGGGAAACCCUGAUGCAGCGACGCCGCGUGAGGGAAGACGGUCCUUCUGGAUUGUAAACCUCUGUCUUCGGGGACGAAACGAGACGGUACCCGAGGAGGAAGCCACGGCUAACUACGUGCCAGCAGCCGCGGUAAUACGUAGGUGGCAAGCGUUGUCCGGAAUUACUGGGUGUAAAGGGAGCGUAGGCGGGCAGGCAAGUCAGGCGUGAAAUAUAUCGGCUCAACCGGUAACGGCGCUUGAAACUGCAGGUCUUGAGUGAAGUAGAGGUUGGCGGAAUUCCUAGUGUAGCGGUGAAAUGCGUAGAUAUUAGGAGGAACACCAGUGGCGAAGGCGGCCAACUGGGCUUUUACUGACGCUGAGGCUCGAAAGUGUGGGGAGCAAACAGGAUUAGAUACCCUGGUAGUCCACACCGUAAACGAUGAUUACUAGGUGUGGGGGGACUGACCCCUUCCGUGCCGGAGUUAACACAAUAAGUAAUCCACCUGGGGUGAC
rnacentral:rRNA from 1 species